rnacentral:rRNA from 1 species
ACGCUUGAAGUCAGUCGCGUUGGCCGGGGAUCAACCUUGCUUUUGCUGGGCGUACUUUCCGGUUGACGGGUCAGCAUCAAUUUUGACCGUUGGAUAAAGUCCAGGGGAAUGUGGCAUCUUCGGAUGUGUUAUAGCCCUUGGUCGCAUACAACGGUUGGGAUUGAGGAACUCAGCACGCCGCAAGGCCGGGUACUUGUACCACGUUCGUGCUUAGGAUGCUGGCAUAAUGGCUUUAAUCGACCCGUCUUGAAACACGGACCAAGGAGUC